rnacentral:rRNA from 1 species
GGCCUAACACAUGCAAGUCGAACGGUAACAUUUCUAGCUUGCUAGAAGAUGACGAGUGGCGGACGGGUGAGUAAUGCUUGGGAACUUGCCUUUGCGAGGGGGAUAACAGUUGGAAACGACUGCUAAUACCGCAUAAUGUCUUCGGACCAAACGGGGCUUCGGCUCCGGCGCAAAGAGAGGCCCAAGUGAGAUUAGCUAGUUGGUAAGGUAACGGCUUACCAAGGCGACGAUCUCUAGCUGUUCUGAGAGGAAGAUCAGCCACACUGGGACUGAGACACGGCCCAGACUCCUACGGGAGGCAGCAGUGGGGAAUAUUGCACAAUGGGGGAAACCCUGAUGCAGCCAUGCCGCGUGUGUGAAGAAGGCCUUCGGGUUGUAAAGCACUUUCAGUUGUGAGGAAAAGUUAGUAGUUAAUACCUGCUAGCCGUGACGUUAACAACAGAAGAAGCACCGGCUAACUCCGUGCCAGCAGCCGCGGUAAUACGGAGGGUGCGAGCGUUAAUCGGAAUUACUGGGCGUAAAGCGCACGCAGGCGGUUUGUUAAGCUAGAUGUGAAAGCCCCGGGCUCAACCUGGGAUGGUCAUUUAGAACUGGCAGACUAGAGUCUUGGAGAGGGGAGUGGAAUUCCAGGUGUAGCGGUGAAAUGCGUAGAUAUCUGGAGGAACAUCAGUGGCGAAGGCGACUCCCUGGCCAAAGACUGACGCUCAUGUGCGAAAGUGUGGGUAGCGAACAGGAUUAGAUACCCUGGUAGUCCACACCGUAAACGCUGUCUACUAGCUGUGUGUGUCUUUAAGACGUGCGUAGCGAAGCUAACGCGCUAAGUAGACCGCCUGGGGAGUACGGCCGCAAGGUUAAAACUCAAAUGAAUUGACGGGGGCCCGCACAAGCGGUGGAGCAUGUGGUUUAAUUCGAUGCAACGCGAAGAACCUUACCUAC